AGCAAUGAUGAUCGUUGCUAAUUAUUCUGACACCUCUUGUAUGAGAAGAGCUUCGGCUCUUCUAUGAGCAGAUAAAGCAACUCUCUGAGCC